rnacentral:tRNA from 1 species
CCUGUAGCUCAAUUGGAUAGAGCAACGGAUUUCGGUUCCGUAGGCUGGAGGUUCAAAUCCUCUCAG